UACGUAGGGUGCAAGCGUUAAUCGGAAUUACUGGGCGUAAAGCGUGCGCAGGCGGCUUUGCAAGACAGAUGUGAAAUCCCCGGGCUCAACCUGGGAACUGCAUUUGUGACUGCAUGGCUAGAGUACGGUAGAGGGGGAUGGAAUUCCGCGUGUAGCAGUGAAAUGCGUAGAUAUGCGGAGGAACACCGAUGGCGAAGGCAAUCCCCUGGACCUGUACUGACGCUCAUGCACGAAAGCCAGGGGAGCAAACGGG
rnacentral:rRNA from 1 species